rnacentral:rRNA from 1 species
GAUGAACGCUGGCGGCGUGCCUAAUACAUGCAAGUCGAGCGAACGGACGAGAAGCUUGCUACUCUGAUGUUAGCGGCGGACGGGUGAGUAACACGUGGAUAACCUACCUAUAAGACUGGGAUAACUUCGGGAAACCGGAGCUAAUACCGGAUAAUAUUAUGAACCGCAUGGUUCAAAAGUGAAAGACGGUCUUGCUGUCACUUAUAGAUGGAUCCGCGCUGCAUUAGCUAGUUGGUAAGGUAACGGCUUACCAAGGCAACGAUGCAUAGCCGACCUGAGAGGGUGAUCGGCCACACUGGAACUGAGACACGGUCCAGACUCCUACGGGAGGCAGCAGUAGGGAAUCUUCCGCAAUGGGCGAAAGCCUGACGGAGCAACGCCGCGUGAGUGAUGAAGGUCUUCGGAUCGUAAAACUCUGUUAUUAGGGAAGAACAUAUGUGUAAGUAACUGUGCACAUCUUGACGGUACCUAAUCAGAAAGCCACGGCUAACUACGUGCCAGCAGCCGCGGUAAUACGUAGGUGGCAAGCGUUAUCCGGAAUUAUUGGGCGUAAAGCGCGCGUAGGCGGUUUUUUAAGUCUGAUGUGAAAGCCCACGGCUCAACCGUGGAGGGUCAUUGGAAACUGGAAAACUUGAGUGCAGAAGAGGAAAGUGGAAUUCCAUGUGUAGCGGUGAAAUGCGCAGAGAUAUGGAGGAACACCAGUGGCGAAGGCGACUUUCUGGUCUGUAACUGACGCUGAUGUGCGAAAGCGUGGGGAUCAAACAGGAUUAGAUACCCUGAUAGUCCACGCCGUAAACGAUGAGUGCUAAGUGUUAGGGGGUUUCCGCCCCUUAGUGCUGCAGCUAACGCAUUAAGCACUCCGCCUGGGGAGUACGACCGCCAGGUUG